UAGUGCUAUUCUGCGCCGGUAUCCGACCGCCGGGCGCGGUGGCGCGUGCCUGUAGUCCCAGCUACUCGGGAGGCUGAGGCUGGAGGAUCGCUUGAGUCCAGGAGUUCUGGGCUGUAGUGCGCUAUGCCGAUCGGGUGUCCGCACUAAGUUCGGCAUCAAUAUGGUGACCUCCCGGGAGCGGGGGACCACCAGGUUGCCUAAGGAGGGGUGAACCGGCCCAGGUCGGAAACGGAGCAGGUCAAAACUCCCGUGCUGAUCAGUAGUGGGAUCGCGCCUGUGAAUAGCCACUGCACUCCAGCCUGGGCAACAUAGCGAGACCCCGUCUCUUUUGAACAAUAAAUACGUUAAUUUUGGACUCUCAAGAGAUGAAUAUUCUCAUAGUCUUUUUUAUUGAUUAAACCUUUUACUUUCUUUUAAUUAAAACGUUACACUUGGGAAAGGAGUUUUUCCUCGACUCACCAGUGACACCUACUGGAAUAAAUUUACAAAACAACUUAAAAUCAGCUGUAAUGAUCACGAGUCAACGGAUUAUCUCCAAGACUUCAACAUACAACGUUUGUGCACCAACAACAUAUGUACAGCUAAGGAAAAUAUUCUGUAUUAAAUCAUGGGUGUGCUCAUGAAGUACGAAAGGAGCCAAGAAGAGAAAUUAAUUCCAGUUCGAGGUACAUUUGAGAGACCUUUGAGGUAGACCUUGAAGAAUGGGAUUUCUACAGGCAGCACUUGACAGAAGGGAAUGCCUGGUGAAAGGAAGCGCUUGAGCCAAGGUAAGGUGAACAACUUUGUGUAACUAGAAUAGAAGAUGGACAAAAGGCCUAGUGAUAGGAAUGAAAAGGUAUUUUAUUUUAAAGCCUCAUUGGGCAAGAUCCAAUGUCAAGCUUUUACAACUUUCCUAUAAUUUAUAUCAGUCACUAAUGUGUGGUUUCCAAAAGCCAUUUGCCUCUCAAAAGCUAAUCUAACAUUUGUCCACACUUUCUUAGGCCUCUUCUAGUUGGUCUCCACAAUAUUUAAAACAUUACAGUGGUUCUGAGAUCAAUUCCAUUAAUAUUUUUAGUACUCUGAUAUAUAAGCCUUUGGGCCUAAAGAAGUGAAUUCAUUUAGGAGAGAAAAAAAG
rnacentral:lncRNA from 1 species